AUUGAACGCUGGCGGCAUGCCUUACACAUGCAAGUCGAACGGUAACAGGUUAAGCUGACGAGUGGCGAACGGGUGAGUAAUGUAUCGGAACGUGCCCAGUCGUGGGGGAUAACUACUUGAAAGAGUGGCUAAUACCGCAUACGACCUGAGGGUGAAAGCGGGGGACCGUAAGGCCUCGCGCGAUUGGAGCGGCCGAUAUCAGAUUAGCUAGUUGGUGGGGUAAAAGCCCACCAAGGCGACGGUCUGUAGCUGGUCUGGGAGGACGCCCAGCCACACUGGGACUGAGACACGGCCCAGACUCCUACGGGAGGCAGCGGUGGGGAAUUUUGGACAAUGGGCGCGAGCCUGAUCCAGCAAUGCCGCGUGCAGGAAGAAGGCCUUCGGGUUGUAUACUGCUUUUGUCAGGGAAGAAAUCCCUUGGGAUAAUACCUCGGGGGGAUGACGGUACCUGAAGAAUAAGCACCGGCUAACUACGUGCCAGCAGCCGCGGUAAAAC
rnacentral:rRNA from 1 species